GUGAACUUUCCUGGCCUCUCAGGGUGGGUUCUAGAUCCCAGAGCGCCACUGCAGGCCCCGCCCACGAGUUUAGCGCAGGACCGAGCCUCGCCCACUCUUUCCUCACUCGUCGGCCCCGCCCACGCCCCAGGCUAGCCACAGCCUACCUCGCCCUCCCUCCUGCCCGCCCCGGGGCGCCACUCUUUCCUCACUCGUCGGCCCCGCCCACGCCCCAGGCUAGCCACAGCCUACCUCGCCCUCCCUCCUGCCCGCCCCGGGGCGCCUGGCCGGCUAUUUUCCCGCCAUUCCUUCUCUUCUUGAGGAGAACUGGAUGUUUAGAGAAAUGUGCCAUUUGUGGAACUCCCUGCAAGCAUCUGACUCUUUCUGACAAUGUGUGGAGUUUCCAGAAGAAACAAACAGAUCUCCUCAUUGCCUUUUAUAAGCAUAGAAUUACAAAGUUAGAAGCAGCCAUUCAGGAGGCACAGCAAACAGUGACCAGCCAGAACAGAGAGUUAUCAAUCUUGAGAAAAGAGAAUGAAGAACUGAAGAAACUUCUAGCCUUCCUAAAGGAAUCUCCAAGUCGGUACCAAGGAAGCAGGCUGACUACACCUCGACCAGUGUGCAUUACUUCUCCAUCACAGUCAGUUACUCCGAGACCCAGUUCCCAGCAUAGUAGCCAGGUGGUCAGUCGGUCCUCCUCUGUAGAAUCUCUGCCUUAUAGAGUGCCUGGCUUUGGUACUGUGGGACCAGAAGGCAGAGUCCUGCAGGGAAGGAGCACCCCCAGAGACUCUAAUAUUGGUGAGAGGGGGGAAAAACGAUCAACAUAAUCAGAAGUCAACAUAAUCUGUGCAGACAGUAGAUUUCUGGUUUUCUGUGCAUCAUGCCAUUUUACUUUGUUUUUUCCAGACAGUGAUUCCAGACAUGUAUUAAAAGUUUUCAAAUAAUUUUUUUUGUUAUUAAACUGACAAAGGGAAAAUAAAAAGUUGAACAACAGAAAGCCAAUAGAAAUCUCUGGUCAGGAAUUUGAGGAUCAAAACAAAAAACAAAAACAAACAAACAGGAAUUUGAGGAUGACUUCCGAGUAAAAUUGAUUUGAAUUUUUAAAAUUGCCACCAGAUGGCAGUAUAAGUUAGGUCUAAAAGGAACGUGUGUGUGUGUGUGUGUGUGUGUGUGUGUGUGUGUGUGUGUGUGUGUGUGUGUGUGUGUGUGUGUGUGUGUGUG
rnacentral:lncRNA from 1 species